rnacentral:rRNA from 1 species
UCGCGGGGUCCUGCGAGAGGAUGUUUUGAAUUUAUUGUUUGUAAAAAUGCAGACAUGUGAGAGAGGGACGAGAAGACCCUAUAGAUCUUAAAAAAGUUUUUAAUUAAAUUUUGAUUGGAAAUUUUUUUUAUUUGGGGAAAAUCCUGAAAUGUAUUAAAACUUCGGUUAAUAAAAAAAUUUAAUAAUUAAUUUUUGAUCCAUUUGUAGAGUGAAAAAAUGAAAAAGUUACCUUAGGGAUAACAGCG